rnacentral:pre_miRNA from 1 species
AGUGUGAUUUCUGGAUCAAAUGAUGGGAGAGAAUGGUUAGUUUUGUAAGAAACUGCUAAGUGUCUUCCAAGAUAGAUAUACCUUUUGCAUUUCCACUAGGAAU